UUUUGAAUUGCAGAUACGUUUAACUGAUGCUUAACAAAAAAGAAAAAGGUAGGAAAGGAAAGAGAUAUCUCUAUAGGUGGGUAAACAGAUCAAGAGAUAGAAAAACAGAGAGAGAGAGAGAGAGAGAGAGAGAGAGAGAGAGAGAGAGAGAGAGAUUACGCGAGAUAAGAAAUUGGAAGGAGAAACAGCGAUUUUUUUCGAAAGAAGGAAUGGAAAGAGAGAGAAAGAGUGUUUAAAAGAGAAGAUAUGAGAAAUAUUAG